rnacentral:rRNA from 1 species
UACGUAGGGUCCGAGCGUUGUCCGGAAUUAUUGGGCGUAAAGGGCUCGUGGGCGGUUUGUCACGUCGGGCGUGAAAACUCAGGGCUCAACCCUGAGCGUGCGUUCGAUACGGGCAGACUAGAGGUAUGCAGGGGAGAACGGAAUUCCUGGUGUAGCGGUGGAAUGCGCAGAUAUCAGGAGGAACACCGGUGGCGAAGGCGGUUCUCUGGGCAUUACCUGACGCUGAGGAGCGAAAGCAUGGGGAGCGAACAGG